AAGUCGUAACAAGGUUUCCGUAGGUGAACCUGCGGAAGGAUCAUUAUCGUGGGGCUUCGGCCCUAUCGUGAUAGAACCCUUGCCUUUUGAGUACCGUCCGUUUCCUCGGCAGGCCCGCCUGCCAAUGGGGACCCCAAUAAACCCUUUUUAUGUACCUGUAUCAGUCUGAAAAACAAACAAAAGUUAAAACUUUCAACAACGGAUCUCUUGGUUCUG
rnacentral:misc_RNA from 1 species